rnacentral:rRNA from 1 species
CCUACGGGAGGCAGCAGUGCGGAAUAUUGGUCAAUGGCCGUAAGGCUGAACCAGCCAAGUCGCGUGAAGGAAGACGGAUCUAUGGUUUGUAAACUUCUUUUAUAGGGGAAUAAAGGUAUCCACGUGUGGAUAUUUGCAUGUACCCUAUGAAUAAGCAUCGGCUAACUCCGUGCCAGCAGCCGCGGUACUACGGAGGAUGCGAGCGUUAUCCGGAUUUAUUGGGUUUAAAGGGUGCGUAGGUUGUUUUUUAAGUCAGCGGUAAAAGCCCGGGGCUCAACCCCGGCGAGCCGUUGAAACGGGCUGUCUUGAGAUGUCGAGAGGUAUGCGGAAUGCGCAGGGUAGCGGUGAAAUGCUUAGAUAUUGCGCAGAACUCCGAUUGAGAAGGCAGCAUACCGGCGGCGAUCUGACGCUGAGGCACGAAAGCGUGGGUAUCGAACAGGAUUAGAUACCCCGGUAGUC